rnacentral:rRNA from 1 species
UACGUAGGGGGCUAGCGUUGUCCGGAAUCAUUGGGCGUAAAGCGCGUGUAGGCGGUCCGGUAAGUCCGCUGUGAAAGUCGGGGGCUCAACCCUCGGAUGCCGGUGGAUACUGUCGGGCUUGAGUACGGAAGAGGUGAGUGGAAUUCCCGGUGUAGCGGUGAAAUGCGCAGAUAUCAGGAGGAACACCGAUGGCGAAGGCAGGUCUCUGGGCCAUAACUGACGCUGAGGCGCGAAAGCGUGGGGAGCAAACAGG